AUUGAACGCUGGCGGCAGGCCUAACACAUGCAAGUCGAACGAGUGGCGGACGGGUGAGUAAUGUCUGGGAAACUGCCUGAUGGAGGGGGAUAACUACUGGAAACGGUAGCUAAUACCGCAUACCAUCAGAUGUGCCCAGAUGGGCUUAGCUAGUAGGUGGGGUAACGGCUCACCUAGGCGACGAUCCCUAGCUGGUCUGAGAGGAUGACAAGCCACACUGGAACUGAGACACGGUCAGUCCUCCUACGGGAGGAAGCAGUGGGGAAUAUUGCAAAAUGGGCGCAAGCCUGAGUGAGCGAUGCGGGGGGGAUGAAGAAGGCCUUCGGGUUGUAAAGUACUUUCAGCGGGGCGGCGGUACCCGCAUAAGAAGCACCGGCUAACUCCGUGCCAGCAGCCGCGGUAAUAC
rnacentral:rRNA from 1 species